GGGUACUAUCUUGCCUGUUGCCUUCCGUUCCGUUAGCGUCGAAGGCGUUUCGCCGAGUUUUCGCGCAUCGUACAGUAGUAGCGGCCGUGUCCCGGUUGCUGAGGUACGCACGUGUUAACUUCGAGACCACGUUCUCUCUUAUGAGAAACACACAUAUUGGGAGAAUAAAUGUGGAAGAUUACUUCCAAAUAUUACUGAUACUGUGACACUUAAGUGACAAGCGUGUGCGGCUAGUUAAUUUACUUCCAUCUUCAUAACAUGUGCAAUGUGUUCGCUGUUUGGUCCCUCGAAAGAUACAGCACUUACGCCGAAGUUAAUGGUAGUCAGAAGCUCGCACGUAUGAUGUGUGUCAACUGAAGCGAGAGGGAUUGAAACCAUGGUCUUCCCACAUUCCAGCCCAGAAACGACAAGUAGUCUGCAAGUGAGGAAUGGAUAAUGUGUGUGCGGCCAAGAACAGAUGAGUAGUAACCUCACUGAUAACCUCUCUUCCGGGCCACACCCAAGGAAAAGCUGUUGACCUCGAUGUAAAGUCUUGGACCACGAAAGGAACGCAUGAGGUGCGUUUUCCCAAAGUACUCUCCAGAUACCUGUCUGAGUUCUGAAUAUUGGAAACCUCAUCUAGGGACAUGUCUUAAGAAGAUUGAUUGCUUUGCGUCUACUUGGUUCCACCACAAUGGCAGUAUCGACUGUAAAGUGAAGAAAGAUACAAGCAAAGAACCGGUAGAGUUGCACUGAGAAGAUUACUGCCCCAUACAUUUCUC